rnacentral:rRNA from 1 species
AAUGAACGCUGGCGGUGUGCCUAACACAUGCAAGUCGAGCGACCGCACGAGAAGAUCGUAUUCCUGCUGUUAGCGGGGGACGGGCGGGUAACACGUGCAUCACAAUCUUAUUAGUCUGGGAUAAUUACGGGGGAAAGGUGAUAAUAAUGCCUCAUACUACGUACGGCUUGAAUCAGAAGAGCUUGACAGCUUUCGUGUCUCUAUUAGACGGUUCCGCGUUGGAUUAGCUAGUUGGUAAGGUAACGGCUUACCAAGGCAACGAUGCAUAGCCGAGCUGAGAGGGUGACCAGCCACACUGGAACUGAGACACGGUCCAGACUCCUACGGGAGGCAGCAGUAGGGAAUAUUCCACAAUGGGCGAAAGCCUGACGGAGCAAUACCGCGUGAGUGAUGAAGGUCUUCGGAUCGUAAAGCUCUGUUAUUAGGAAAGAACAUAUGUAUAAUUAUCCGUGCAUGUCCUGACGGUACCUAAUCAAUAAGCCACGGCUAACUACGUG